ACGGAAGGCAGCAGUGGGGAAUAUUGGGCAAUGGGCGCAAGCCUGACCCAGCAACGCCGCGUGAAGGAUGAAGGUCUUCGGAUUGUAAACUUCUUUGGUCAGGGACGAAUUUUGACGGUACCUGAAGAACAAGUCACGGCUAACUACGUGCCAGCAGCCGCGGUAAUACGUAGGUUGCAAGCGUUGUCCGGAUUUACUGGGUGUAAAGGGCGUGUAGGCGGAGCUGCAAGUCAGAUGUGAAAUCCCGGGGCUCAACCCCGGAACUGCAUUUGAAACUGUAGCCCUUGAGUAUCGGAGAGGCAAGCGGAAUUCCUAGUGUAGCGGUGAAAUGCGUAGAUAUUAGGAGGAACACCAGUGGCGAAGGCGGCUUGCUGGACGACAACUGACGCUGAGGCGCGAAAGCGUGGGGAGCAAACAGGAUUAGAUACCCUGGUA
rnacentral:rRNA from 1 species